GACGAACGCUGGCGGCGUGCCUAAUACAUGCAAGUCGAACGCAGUGGGGACGGGUGAGGAACAUGUGGGUAACCUCCCAUCAGAGGGGAUAAAACUUGGAAACAGGUGCUAAAUCGACACGGAUGGAUGGACCCGCGGUGCAGUAGCUAGUUGGUGAGGUAACGGCUCACCAAGGCCACGAUGCAUAGCCGGUCUGAGAGGGUGAUCGGCCACACUGGGACUGAGACACGGCCCAGACUCCUACGGGAGGCAGCAGUAGGGAAUCUUCAGCAAUGGGCGAAAGUCUGACCGAGCAACGCCGCGUGAAUGAAGAAGGUUUUCGGAUCGUAAAGCUCUGUUGUUAGAGAAGCGGUAUCUAACCAGGAAGCCACGGCUAACUACGUGCCAGCCGCCGCGGUAAUAC
rnacentral:rRNA from 1 species